CACAGUAUUUUGUAGUGGUAACGUGCACCUCACCAUUUGCUGUGAUCACUUUGUUGCAGUAGUUGUGCCUAUGCUUAUGUGUGUCUGUGUGAAUAGGCACCAGAGUCAAGAGCACGAGUGUUGUGUCGGCCUCACACUUCUCCCAGGACAGGUACAGUGGGUCACACAAACAAAACAUCUCCUGAUGCUAAAUGAAGCACAUGUGACUAUACAAAUAAGCCAUUUCAAGAAGACAUGCUACAGAGUGUGUUUAAUAAUGGCCUGGAAAUCAGGAGGAGCUAGCCAAGCAGAGCUCGUCAACAACCUUCGCA